UCUUGAUGUUACCAGUAUAAUGCUGGCUAGGGAACAGGCUAAAUAUCAGGCUAAGAUGAUACUUCUUAACAGUCCUAAGAAGAAGGAGAAGAAACUGCUCUCAAAAAUGUCUCGAAUGUCCGGAAUGCUUUCA